GAAUUUCUUUUUAUUGACACUUCAAAGUGCACGACAUAAAAAUUAUAUUAGUUUCAACAGCAAAGAAUUAUAAGUCCAAUGUUAUUCGAAUUUCCAUCGUAAAUCAGCUGACUCAGUGUGCUCUUCCAGAGAAAAGAGAGAGGUAUGUAAAAUAUUCAACUCGGUAUUUGUCAAUUAAGUGAAUGCAUUUUGAGUGGUCAGACGUUGCCCCAUUCUUAAUGGGGUUCCAUUUCAUAAUAAAACAAGAAUGACAUACUUGAAAUGCAUUGAAAACAAACAAGGUAAAGUUUUUGGCAUGAAGGCGAAACCCAAACAAAUAACAAACUGCGACCCGAACUAAAGCAAAGGACACUCGUUGAAGGUCAACUGAAGGUGCCGCUCCCCCACCUACCACCCACUCCCCGCCCGCACUGCCCACCAAAAAAGAACAACAAGCCGAAUAGAAACAACAACAUGAGCUGCCAGUUGCCAUUUUGUGGGUCCUGGGGCACCUACAGCUGCCCGACCAGGUGAAAGCAAAUAAACGUGUGGCAUUUAUAUUUGUGGCAGCAAAUUUAUUUAGCAUGCAUUUUCCACGAAACCCGGGAGAGCUUGCAGUGAGAGAGAGACAGAGAGAGCCUGAUGUUGGGAAAGUGUGGCAAAUGUUGUAAAUUUUCACUGGCAUAUAAACAAACGUUGUAGAGGG